rnacentral:tRNA from 2 species
GCCUGGCUGGCUCAGUUGGUGGAGCAUGUGACCCCUGAUCUCAGUGUUGUGAGUUCGAGCCCCAUAUUGGGCA